rnacentral:rRNA from 1 species
UAGGGAAUCUUCCACAAUGGGCGCAAGCCUGAUGGAGCAACACCGCGUGAGUGAAGAAGGGUUUCGGCCCGUAAAGCUCUGUUGUUAAAGAAGAACACGUAUGAGAGUAACUGUUCAUACGUUGACGGUAUUUAACCAGAAAGUCACGGCUAACUACGUACCAG